GCAAGUCGUGCGAGAAAGUUCUUCGGAUAUGAGUAGAGCGGCGGACGGGUGAGUAACGCGUAGGAAUCUACCUAGUAGAAGGGGAUAGCCCGGGGAAACCCGGAUUAAUACCGUAUACCUCCUUCGGGAGAAAGAAGGCCUCUCUUUGAAGCUUUCGCUAUUAGAUGAGCCUGCGUAAGAUUAGCUUGUUGGUGAGGUAAAGGCUCACCAAGGCAACGAUCUUUAGCUGGUCUGAGAGGACGAUCAGCCACAUUGGGACUGAGACACGGCCCAGACUCCUACGGGAGGCAGCAGUGGGGGAUAUUGGACAAUGGGCGCAAGCCUGAUCCAGCCAUACCGCGUGUGUGAAGAAGGCCUUCGGGUUGUAAAGCACUUUAAGCAGGGAGAAAAAGUUAUAAGUUAAUACCUUAUGACCUUGAUGUUACCUGCAGAAUAAGCACCGGCUAAUUCCGUGCCAGCAGCCACGGUAAUACGGAAGGUGCAAGCGUUAAUCGGAAUUACUGGGCGUAAAGCGCGCGUAGGUGGUUUGUUAAGUUGGAUGUGAAAGCCCUGGGCUCAACCUAGGAACUGCAUCCAAAACUAACUCACUUGAGUACGAUAGAGGGAGGUAGAAUUCAUAGUGUAGCGGUGGAAUGCGUAGAUAUUAUGAAGAAUACCGGUGGCGAAGGCGGCCUCCUGGAUCUGUACUGACACUGAGGUGCGAAAGCGUGGGUAGCGAACAGGAUUAGAUACCCUGGUAGUCCACGCCGU
rnacentral:rRNA from 1 species